rnacentral:tRNA from 1 species
CAUAACGUAGCUUAUUUCACAAAGCACCUGGCCUACGCCCAGAAGAAUUCACAGUAUGAACGUUAUGA